rnacentral:tRNA from 1 species
GGCCGCUUGGUGGAAUUGGCAGACACGCAAGACUUAGGAUCUUGUGCCGAAAGGUGUCCGGGUUCAAAUCCCGGAGCGGCCAC